rnacentral:rRNA from 1 species
AGCGAACGCUGGCGGCAGGCUUAACACAUGCAAGUCGAGCGGGCGUAGCAAUACGUCAGCGGCAGACGGGUGAGUAACACGUGGGAACGUACCUUUUGGUUCGGAACAACACAGGGAAACUUGUGCUAAUACCGGAUAAGCCCUUACGGGGAAAGAUUUAUCGCCGAAAGAUCGGCCCGCGUCUGAUUAGCUUGUUGGUGAGGUAACGGCUCACCAAGGCGACGAUCAGUAGCUGGUCGAGAGGAUGAUCAGCCACACUGGGACUGAGACACGGCCCAGACUCCUACGGGAGGCAGCAGUGGGGAAUAUUGGACAAUGGGCGCAAGCCUGAUCCAGCCAUGCCGCGUGAGUGAUGAAGGCCCUAGGGUUGUAAAGCUCUUUCGGCGGGGACGAUAAUGACGGUACCCGC